UAGAUGAGUGCCGGUUGCCAUAAAUAAACGAGGCAAGUACCGGCAAUAAUGCGUGUACCGGGCACGGGCAGCCGCUUGACGCGCUCACGCUCUUCUGUGGUUCUGAGCCGUGCCCGUGCUCGCGGUGUUCUCGCUCACCGCUGCAACGCCACUGGCACAAUGAGGUGAGAGAGAAAGAAGGUAGGCAUGGCACCGGCGUGCGCCUGGAGAACCAAAGAGAAAAUGUGUGUGUUUGUGUGGGCAGAUUCCUAAUCGAUCGGGCGUGUGUGUCCUGCUAACUGAAGCAGCGCACACAUCAUCGAGGGCAGCGUGGGCGGGGCUGCCCGGCCGGCUGGGGACAUCCUGACGAAGAAGACGACCUGAGAAAGAAGAAACAAGGACGAAGUGUGCGCCGCCCGUAUCUAUAGCGCCGCGCGCGUCAGGACUGACAUGUGUAUACCAGUCCUCACCAUUUGACGCCACCACAAGAUGUCAGAUGUCCCAUCUAGUAAUGCUUUGUUAGAUGAUUUUCUCGCUGAGGAUGACAUAAUGAAUGAUGUUGUUACUGAGGUCACUGUUUUUUGAAAGCCACUAUCGAAACUAUUCAUGAAGUGGCAUCAAAUCAUCAUCUUCGUCCGAGGAAGUAAUCAGAAGACCACAGAAGAGAUUCAACGAAAAAUUGUAUGAUGAUUACUUCUCCAAAAAUCCUCUCUACCCUCCAUCUUUUUUCGUAGAAGAUAUCGUAUGUCGAGACCACUUUUUCUGCACAUUAUUGAGGAGCUAGGCAAGUGGUCUGACUAUUUCACUACAAGGACAUAUUGUACUAGUCGUCAAGGCCUGACACCAUUACAAAAAUGUACAGCAGCAAUACGCCAAUUGACCAAUGGCAGUGCAGCUGAUCACCUGGAUGAAUAUUUGAAGAUUGGUGACACAACUGCAUUAGAAGCUUUGAAAAAAAUUGUGGAAGGUAUUAUUGCUGUUUUUAGUGAAAGCUAUUUGCGACGGACUCCGGUGGAAGACAUUGAACGUUUGCUAAAAGUUGGACAGAGUAGAGGAUUUCCUGGCAUGUUGGGGAGUAUUGACUAUAUGCACUAGCAAUGGGAAAGAUGUCCUGUUGGAUGGAAAGGUCAAUUCACUCGAGGUGGUCAAAAAGUACCAACUCUGAUUCUCGAAGCAGUGACCUCACAUGAUCUUUGGAUUUGGCAUGCAUUCUUUGGUGUUGCUGGUUCUAAUAAUGAUAUCAAUGUCCUACAACAAUCAUCAAUUUUCAUCUGAGAACUCAAAGGGCAAGUUGCUCGGGUGAAAUAUACGGUUAAUGGGAAUAAAUAUGACCAAGGUUACUGUCUCGCUGAUGGAAUUUAUCCGGAAUGGGCUAUUUUUGUUAAGUAAAUAUCCAUGCCUAUCAAUGACAAAGAUCAGGAAUUUGCUAAUCAUCAAGAAGGCGAAAGAAAGGAUAUUGAACGAGCAUUUGGUGUCCUACGACAUCGAUGGUGUAUUUUGAAGCGACCAGCUCGUCUACAUGAUAAAAACAGUUUGAGAACAUUAUACUAGCUUGCAUCAUACUUCACAACAUGAUAGUGCAAGAUGAAAAGAAAGAGAAUAUUGAAGAGAAUCUUGACUUGAAUGAGGCUGCAAGUUCUGCCAUCGUCGAACAACCCAAAUUCUCCUUUGGUGAAUCCAUUCCAUUUGAAAGAGUGCUAGAGAAUCAAAUAGAUCUUCAAGAUCGUACAACUCAUCUAAAAUUGAAGGACUUGGUUGAGCAUAUUUAGCAAAAAUAUGGGCGUCGUUGAAAAGUAUUUACAAACUCAUGGUAGAUAUUAUCUUUAUAUGUUGAAAAUGUGGGCCUCGUAAAAAGAAUAUAUCUCAUUUGUUUCA